rnacentral:rRNA from 1 species
UUAAUAGUAAAAUCUGCUCAAUGAAAUUUCAAUAGCCGCAAUUCGUGCUAAGGUAGCAUAAUCAUUUGUCUUUUAAAUGAAGACUAGUACAAAAGAUUUAACAUCUUAAUUAAUAUUAUAUAUAACUUAUUUAAUUUUUUUUAAAAGUAAAAAAACUUUUAUAAAAAAAAAAGACGACAAGACCCUAUUGAACUUAACUUUAGUUAAACUGGGGUAGUCAAUUAAUUAUUAUUUUAAUCUUAAUAUAAAAACAAAAAGCCUCAAAAUUGAUAAUUCAGUUACCAUAGGGAUAACAGCAUAAUAUUAUUUUAAAGUUCUUAUUAAAAAUAAAGAUUAUGACCUCGAUGUUGAAUUAAUAACCUAAUUAAAGCAAAAUUUAAAAUAGGAAGUCUGUUCGACUUUUAAAUAAUUACAUGAUUUGAGUUCAGACCGGUACAAGCCAGGUCGGUUUCCAUCUUUUAUAAAAAUUUUUGUAGUACGAAAGGACCUAAAAAUUAAAUAUUAUUUAUUAUAUUGGCAGAAUAAUGCAUUAGAAUUAGAAUCUAAUUAUCU